UUUUAUGUAGGGAGUGUUCAAACCUGCAACAAGGCAUUCGACCACCUCAGGGCUUUACCACCACAUUCUGUGGCAUUUGUAGACCAGAGCAGUUAUGGGAUUUACUGCCUCACUCCGUAGAUUGGACUGGAUGAUGUUUGAAGUCCCUUUGCAAUACUUCAGUGUUAAUUUCAUAAACGAAAGUUUAUGAAGCACAGCAAACCUGAAGGAGGGAAAAUGGACUUCCUGUGUAUUGGAGGAGCAGGCCUCAAUUCUCCUGUUCCCCAGCCCCCAUGACAAACUUGAAUACACCAGAGGCCUUCUCAGCUGUGCUGGACACUUGCCAACACAACAUGAAAUCCACCUGGUUUUUACAAUGUAGUCUAAACAUAAAUGCGAUCUGUGGAAAUGUUUGCAGCACUCCUGGGAGAUCUUGGACUAGGCUGCGGUCGAUUACAUGUCAAGACAGGAAAAACUUACCACACAUAUUCUUAUGGAACUUAGGCCAAAAUCAAAUGUUACUUGCUUUCCCCAGUCCCCAUCCCACAUCGUUGUCCAAUGCUGUCAGUUGUGACACCCCACAACAUGAGCAAGCCUGUAGCUGGGGGACUUGAUACCUGCAAAGCUUGGCAAAGACGUAGCAAGUGACCUAAAAAUGAAGAUGCUUGCAAGGCAGAUAUCUUCUCUGAAAGCUGACAGUGAUGCUGAAAUAAUUGGUGAAGAAGAGGCACAAGACCCCUCCACCAUUCAGACAGGCUCCAGUGUGGUCUCUCCAGUGUGCUUUCCACCACUCAUCCACAACUGAGUGGAUGCCCCUUGUUAAUAUGAUUGCUUUCCCCUCAACAUGUGAAACGAGCUUCUGCAUCAGGCAUCUACACAAAGCCCCAGUUCACACUGGAGACUGUGUGGUGGAGGGAAAGAGCUCCACCACAAUGUUUUAGGCUCUCUCCUGACUGAACUAAUAUGAACUAAUUCAUCCUCAAGAUUUUCUUUACUGGGAGUCUUCUGCCAAUAUUUGAACGAAAGCUACAGGCUGACAUGAUGAGGAAAAUUACUCAAAGCAGUCUCAGUGAAAUUCAAAGGACCAUGUAGGCAUUGCUUAAUGUGAAUUUCAUCAUGUCAGCCACUUUAAAAUGAUACACACACACACACACACACACACACACACACUUUAAAGCCUAUAUCCUUUGUAUUAGUCCAUAUUGUGCAAUUUUUCCGCUGCUGUGAUAAAACUGGCGAAUAUUGUGAUGGAAAAGGUGGGUUUUCCACAUAAGAAAAUGAAAACAAUGUAUUAUUUCAUAAAACUGAUUGGAUUGUGAUGUGAAUGGAUAUAAACCUUGUAUGUCAAGAUGGCGUAA